GCGUUACAUAUUUUGACAGCGAUGGCGGACUGCUAACCAAACAGUGCAUGAUAAAACUAAACAUUGCUUGAAAAUAACCUGUAUUUAAAAGACAGAAGAAAACUACAAUAUUAAGCAAAAUGCCAAAAUUGAAGCCAAGCACUAGUGCUGAGUGUGUGAAGGUUGUGGUUAGGUGUCGACCUCUAGAUGAAAAGGAGAUAAGAGAUGGACAUGAGAGAAUUGUGGAUAUUGAUGUUAACAAAGGGUGUAUUACCAUACAUAAUCCAAAAGGUUCCAACACUGAACCCCCUCGGAACUUUACAUUUGAUGCUGUUUAUGACUGGAAUUCCAAACAGAGAGAUUUAUACGAUGAGACAUUCCGAGAUCUUGUUCAGUCAGUUAUUGAGGGAUUUAAUGGGACGAUCUUUGCUUAUGGACAAACAGGCACAGGAAAAACGUUCACAAUGCAAGGUCCCAAGAAUGACCCUGAAUUACGAGGUGUGAUACCCAACUCUUUUGAGCACAUAUUUCAACACAUUGCCAGGACAGAGAAUCAACAGUACCUCAUUCGAGCCUCGUAUCUGGAGAUUUACCAAGAAGAGAUCAGAGAUUUGCUAGCCAAGGACCACACAAAACGCCUGGAACUCAAGGAGAGGCCAGACACAGGGGUAUAUGUGAAGGUCAGACUUGUCCUCCUUUGUGACCAAGAGUGUGAAAGAAAUAGAGCAUGUUAUGAAUGUAGGAAACCAGAACCGAGCUGUUGGGGCCACUGACAUGAAUGAACACAGUUCUCGCUCACACGCAAUCUUUAUCAUCACCAUCGAGUGCAGCACGGAGGAUGAUGAAGGAGAGAAUCAUAUUCGUGUUGGACGACUGAAUUUAGUUGAUCUUGCAGGAAGUGAAAGACAGUCUAAAACCGGAGCAACAGGAACUCGUCUAAAGGAAGCUACCAAGAUCAACCUUUCACUGUCCGCUUUAUGCAAUGUCAUCUCAGCCCUAGUGGAUGGUAAAAGUACCCACAUUCCAUACCGAGACGCCAAGCUGACUCGGCUUCUACAAGAUUCCUUGGGCGGAAAUGCUAAAACUGUUAUGGUGGCCAACAUAGGCCCAGCUAGCUAUAAUUAUGAUGAGUCCCUUAGUACUUUAAGAUAUGCAAAUCGAGCGAAAGCCAUUAAGAACAAGCCAAAGAUUAAUGAGGAUCCUAAAGAUGCUCUGCUGCGUGAAUUCCAGGAGGAGAUCGCAAGGCUAAAGGCUCACUUACAAAAGAAAGGUGGUCCCAAGAAAUCCAAGGGAGGUAAAAAGAAGCGACGACAUCGACAGACAGCUGAUGGGGAGAUAAUCAGCGAAUCUGAGGAUGAGUCUGGGGAUGAUGAUGAAGAAGGAGACGUAAACGAUGAAGAGGCGUACAUGAAUGAACAGCAGCAGAAGCUGGAGCAACAGAAGGAAGCCAUUCUGAGCAACCAGUCCAUGCUGCAGGAGGAGAAGGAUCGCUUGUUAGAAGAAGUUCGUGACAGAGAAAACAAACUUCAGAGUGAAAAAGAAGCAAAGGAAGCUCUUGCAUCCAAAAUCAAGGCAAUGGAAAGCAAACUGUUGGUUGGAGGAAAAAACAUUGUUGACCACACUAAUGAACAACAGAGAGCGCUAGAACAGAGACGAAGGGAGAUCUCGGACCAAAAGAGAAGAGAAAGAGAGAUUCAACAGAAGUUAGAGGAGAAGGAAGAAAAAGCUGUUGAAAUGGAGGAAGGGUUUCAGUCCCUGCAACAAGAAGUUGAUAUCAAAACCAAGAAGUUAAAAAAGUUGUUUGCAAAAUUACAAGCCACAAAGCAAGAGAUAGCAGAUAUACAGGAAGAGCACUCUAAAGAGAGACAAGAACUCGAGCAAACUCAGAUGGAGCUAACCAGGGACCUCAAACUCAAGAUGCUGAUUAUUGAAAAUUUCAUCCCACCAGAGGAGAAAGUAAAGCUGCAGAACCGCGCCCGGUACAACGAGGAUGAAGACCAGUGGGAACUGAUACCUCUCGCUAACAAAAGUGCUCAGACAAUGGCCAAGCGUCCUGUGUCUGCCCUGGGUAACAAGCGCCCAGUGUCCGAAUAUGCCAGAGUGGCAGGAGCAAUGGGAGGUCACCCAAGGUUCAAGGGAGAGAACAUCAUUUUGAUUGACCUUGACAUGCCAAAUCGCACAACCAGAGAUUAUGAUGGUCCGCAGGUGGCACCUAAAAUCCAGGCGGCUCUUGAUGCAGCCCUGAUGGAUGAAGAGGAUAUCGAUAUAGAGGGAGGAACACCAUCUGUAUUCAGUAAUAAAAAGUCAAAGAAAAGGGAGUCAAGAAUUGCAAAGUUAAAACAAGGGAAGAGAGAACCGACCCAGAUGUACCCCUCUGCCCGAGGUCUCGUCUCCAAGUGACCUGAUGACCUGUGAACCUUGACCUACACGUCUUUCUUUUCCUUGAACUCUUGCAAACAGCUGUCUCCAAUCGUAGUGAAACAGGACCAGCACUCUGAUUGUGAAUGACCUUGGAGCGGAAACACUGUCAUCAGCAGGCUAUGUUUAUUGACCUUUGUAAUGCCUGGGAUGUCUUAUCAAUUCUAUACAUGCAAGGGAUCAACUUUGUAAACUAGGCAUUUGUUUAUUUUCAUGCAUGCCACAAUUGAUUAUUUAUUGAACUAUGGAACAUUUGAUUCAUUGCAAUUUAUUGUCAACCAGCAGAAUGGAAGGUUCCAGAACUUGUAUUGUGGUCAGGUAUGGUUGUGUCUGACGUUGUACAAAAUCAAUGGCUUGAGGGCAGCUCAUUCUGUGAUAUUGAAAAGCUUGUGUUUAUUUUGUUGAAUCAGUGGCCAUGGGAUCAGUGCUACUAGAGUCCUCUGUAAUUGUUCUCACUUUGAUGCAUAUCUGUUGGUCCUGUAUUUAGAUAUUUAUAAUUGUUUACUGUAGGGAGCUCUUUCUUUUUUUUUUUUUAGACUUAUCAGUAUUCCUGUUACAUUACGAUGCCGUCCAAAGCUUUUUACUUAGUUUACUUUUGUCUUUACAUUGAUUCAGAUUUGAUUGUCUUUGUGUGUGAUAUUUUAGCCAUGAUCUGAGGCCCCUAAAUUUCUCAUUGAGAAUGACCUCUUUUGUUAUUGUAAAUACAAGCUGUAUUAAUUUUAUGCUGAAAAAAUGACUUUUCUAAGACGUGUAUUUGAAUCUAACUGGUUUUAAAAAGCCUUCACUGUAGAGAUGAUGGACGUUUCUGUUAUGAUCUUUACCUUUCUGUGUUUACAUGAGCUUAUCUUAAAGGAUCUCUUAAGACAUGGUUUUGUUUUGAAUUUUUCUUUUAAUGUCAAACAGUUAGUAUAUGUGAAAACGUUCUUCCAUAUUUAAAAAAAAGUCUUUGCUGUUUUUUGGUUUUUACGUUAUAUUUUGAGAUACGUGAUGUAUUGCAUGAUCAUUAUUACAUGUACCUGUAAAAGUAUAUAUAAAUGAAUUGCUAGACUUU
rnacentral:misc_RNA from 1 species